UACGUAGGGGGCCAGCGUUGCUCGGAAUUACUGGGCGUAAAGGGUUCGUAGGUGGUGCGGCAAGUUGGGAGUGAAAUCUCUGGGCUUAACUCAGAGGCUGCUUUCAAAACUGCCGCGCUCGAGUGCGAGAGAGGUCAGUGGAAUUGCAGGUGUAGCGGUGAAAUGCGUAGAUAUCUGCAGGAACACCCGUGGCGAAGGCGGCUGACUGGAUCGCAACUGACACUGAGGAACGAAAGCUAGGGGAGCAAAGCAGG
rnacentral:rRNA from 1 species